rnacentral:RNase_P_RNA from 1 species
GGGAUGGGGCGGGCGACCGCAGGCAACGCCGUUUAGCGGCGAUUGCCUGAGGAAAGUCCGGCCUCCACAGGGCAGGGCGCUCGCCGAGAGCAGGGACGACAGUUCCCUCCUCAAGGCGAGGAAGUCGCUCUGGCAAGGUGCUGGGGCGACUUCGGAAAGUGCCACAGAAACCACACCGCCAUCGGGUUAGCGCCUCGCUGGCUCUGCCGCCAGCCGCUGGCGGGUUGGCGUUGCCUGAUGGUAAGGGUGAAAUGGUGGGGCAAGAGCCCACCAGCGGCGUCGCGAGGCGUCGGCUGGGCAAACCCCGCUCGGAGCAAGACCAAAUAGGGGGGCGCCAUCAGGUGGCCCGCCGAUGCCCCCGGGUUGGUCGCUCAGAGAAAUGGUCGCCCGCAUCGGUAAAAACCGAUGCGACAGAAGCCGGCUUAUAGCCCCAUCCCGCCG